CUCAGUAAAAGAAUAGGCAUGGAUCUGGCUAGAGGCUGCAGGUCUUCCAAAGCUCUGCUUUCCUAUGGAGUGCUUAAAAUAAUAUGCCCAGGCUUUCAUUGACCAUCAAAGUUUGCCCUGUUUAUUAGCAGAUGAAUCUCCCCUGGGAAAGCAACAUUUUUCCUCACGUAGCUGUCUUUUAUGAAUCACUUACUAUGGAUCAGUCAUAAAAAAAACCUGUAUGUAUAUUUUCUCAUUAAACUAGAAUUAUAAUGCCUACUCUGUGAGAUGCUGUAGGUUCCCCAUUUUGAGGCCCACGAGUUUAAAGAACAAGAUAAUAUAGCCAAUUAGCAGCCACAAUAAGAUUCAAAGUCCGUUAAUUCUGUUCGCAGACAGAAUGCUCAACCACCACUCUAGGCUGCCUUUAGGAAGUCCACAUAGCUAUAAUGUAUGUUUUCUUUGUGCUAUAUCACAGCCAUGGAAGCAUAAAGACAAAGGCAGGAGUUAAAGAGACAGCCUAGGAAUGAAUAAAAUUUUCUUGUCUUAAAAACAUUUAAAGAGUGAUGAUAAGAAACAGACAUGACCUCUCCUAUCUAGAAAUGUAAAUAUAAAAGGUAAGUACACCAAAUGAAAUAAGCAUAUAAAAUGCUGCCUUUAUAGAACACAUUCAGAACUUCCGAAGAAAAACUGGAGUUACUGACUGAAGCAAGCUUGAUAAUGUAGAAGAAUAAGUAACAUAGUGUGAAACAUAUGUGUUUAUAGGAGUAAAUAAAAUAUCGCUUUAGAUGACUGUAGCACUUGGUAUAUAUUAAGGAAAUCAUGAAUAGUGUUUGCUUAGCUAGAAUAAAGAAAUUUACCUUGGUGCUUAUACAAGAUGAGACAAAUAAGCAAAGAGGUUGAAAACACGAAGGGAUAAGUGUCUAUUAUUUAAAAAUUCAAUUUAAUUCAACAGUUAUUUAUAUAGUAAGCAACUACUCUCAUCCUGGCACUGCAUAACAUGUCAGCAGAGGAAGGAG
rnacentral:lncRNA from 1 species